CAUAUAUAGAUGUAUACACAUGCAUCUCCGAUUCUCCGGCACCGAACUGCAGCAAGUUGAUGACGGACAGAACCCAUAGCAGACGACGUCGUUCUGAAGACAUUCUGAACCCAUGGCGGAUGACGUCGUCACGGGCUUGACGGGGGCCUCGCGCUGGCCGGGGUAGACGAAGCAGGCGGCGAAGAGGUUCUCGCCGGAGGUGGCUGCAGUAUGGUCCUCGAGGCGGAUCUCGCAGCGGUCGCGGAAGCGGGCAGUCCAGAUCUUGUCGGAGUGGAGCACUUGCCGCACUUGUAGCCGCCGGAGGUGGAGCGGGGCAGGAUCUUGAAGAAGGAGAUCUCUGUGACAGCAAAAGACAGAGAGAGAGAGAGAGAGAGAGCUGGUAGAAGAUAACGAUGAUGUUGUAUAUGUAUAUAUCUGGUGCAAAGGGUAAUAAGGUCUCAAAUUUCCAGAUUUAGAGGUCAUGUGACCUUUUCCAUCCAAAUUGUAACAGAAUGGAAACGAAAGAAGCAUUUCUAUAAGUCAGAGGGGGUUAAAUGUCCAAAAAAUAGUUAAAGGGGGUAAAGUGUCUGCAAGACAUAGUUUGAGGGGGUUAAUUAUAAUUUACCCUUCAUAAUAUCUAUCCCAGCAAAGUAUUAUGCACUAAUGACAGUUUACUUCAGGAGAAUGGAAUAAAUUCUUCUUAUCCAAAAAGGAAAAA